CCUCAUAUUUCUUUAUACCUACAUGAAAAGGAGAGAGCAAAUGUUAGACAACAGCUCCUGUCUUUCAGCUCUCUAUAAUUAGGGCUUCCUUUACCUCCUGGACAGGGACCAGCAAGGCAGAUUAACAUGAAGAACUCCAUGUUUCCGCCGUGUUUCACAGCUUUACAAAGCAGCAUCCAUGUCCCAGCUCACCUUAGCUUCAGAGGGUGCUGUGACACAGCCCGUCUAUGCGUGAGCACGAGACUCUAGGGUGUGCCCAGGUCUUAGGACUGAGUGAGUAGAGAGGCCAGGAUUGUCCAGGGAUCCCAUUCCCAAUGCCCAGCCCGGUGACAGCUCUACUCUACUAAGUCUGUUCACACCUUCCACAGGCUUUUCACGCAGGACCAGCUUGGGAUGGCAGCAGUGCCCGGAAAAGCAACAGCCCCACAGGUGCCCCACAGCCUCUCUACAUGAGUGCCUGCCUCUCAGGGUGACCAAAAGAAAGGCAUGGCCAAAGCCAUUCUGCUGUCCCUCAGGAAAGAGGCUGCCACCUCCAACCCCUUGGGAAGCACUUCCCAAGCACUAUGCUCUGCCCAAGUCGAGUCUCCAAGACCUGGCUCCCGAGAAAACAGAGAAAGUUGGAAAACAAAAUCACACCAUGGAGGAGGAGAUUUGCAUGCAGCCCACAGACUUCACGACAAUACUCACAAAGCUUGCAGAGACAGAGCCCCCCCGCAGUACCUACAUGGAUACCCCAAGAACUCUUA